UACGUAGGGACCGAGCGUUGUCCGGAAUCAUUGGGCGUAAAGAGCGUGUAGGCGGCCUUUUAAGUCCUGCGUGAAAUCCUGCGGCUCAACCGCAGACGGUCGUGGGAAACUGGAAGGCUAGAGUACGGGAGAGGAGAGUGGAAUUCCCGGUGUAGCGGUGAAAUGCGCAGAUAUCGGGAAGAACACCCGUGGCGAAGGCGGCUCUCUGGAACGCAACUGACGCUGAGACGCGAAAGCGUGGGGAGCAAACAGG
rnacentral:rRNA from 1 species